AAAAGUUACUAAGGGCGUACGGCGGAUGCCUAGGCUUUGAGAGGCGAUGAAGGACGUGAUAAGCUGCGAUAAGCUUCGGGGAGUGGCACAUACACAUUAUAUCCGAAGAUUUCCGAAUGGGGCAACCCGGCAGGUUGAAGGCCUGUCACUGCGUAAGCAGAGCGAACGUGGGGAACUGAAACAUCUAAGUACCCAUAGGAAAAGAAAUCAAUUGAGAUUCCGUAAGUAGUGGCGAGCGAACGCGGAUUAGCCCUAAAGACCAUAUAUUUUUAGUAGAAUAACCUGGAAAGGUUAACCGAAGAGGGUGAUAGUCCUGUAAACGAAAAGGAUAUAUGGUUGAUAACGAGUAAGGCGGAACACGAGAAAUUCUGUCCGAAUAUGGGAGGACCAUCUUCCAAGGCUAAAUACUCCUCAAAGACCGAUAGUGAACUAGUACUGUGAAGGAAAGGUGAAAAGCAUAUCGAAUAGAUAGUUGAAAUAGAUCCUGAAACCGUACGCCUACAAGCGGUCGGAGCCCUACGGGGUGACGGCGUGCCUUUUGCAUAAUGAUCCUACGAGUUAAUGUCACUGGCAAGGUUAAGUACUUCAGGUACGGAGCCGUAGCGAAAGCGAGUCUGAAUAGGGCGAUACAGUCAGUGGUAUUAGACGCGAAACCUUGUGAUCUACCCAUGGGCAGGUUGAAGCUUUGGUAACACAAAGUGGAGGACCGAACCGGUUGACGUUGAAAAGUCUUCGGAUGACCUGUGGGUAGGGGUGAAAGGCCAAUCAAACUGGGAAAUAGCUCGUACUCCCCGAAAUGCAUUUAGGUGCAGCGUCAUGUGAAGUAUAUUAGAGGUAGAGCUACUGAUUGGAUGCGGGGGAGUCAAAUCCUACCAAUUCCUGACAAACUCCGAAUGCUAAUAUAUGUUUCAUGGCAGUGAGGGCAUGGGUGCUAAGGUCCAUGUCCGAGAGGGAAAGAACCCAGACCAUCAGCUAAGGUCCCCAAAUAUAUGCUAAGUUGAAUAAACGCGGUUGGAUUGCAUUGACAGCUAGGAUGUUAGCUUGGAAGCAGCUAUUCAUUUAACGAGUGCGUAACAGCUCACUAGUCGAGCGAUCCGGCAUGGAUAAUAAUCGGGCAUAAGCAUAUUACCGAAGCUAUGGAUUUGUACUGAAAUAUGUACAUCUGGUAGGGGAGCAUUCUAGCGGCGCAGAAGUCGUUCCGGCAAGGAGCGGUGGAGCUUCUAGAAAAGAAAAUGUAGGAAUGAGUAACGAUAAAAUAAGUGAGAAACUUAUUCGCCGUAAGACUAAGGUUUCCUCAGCUAUGCUAAUCAGCUGAGGGUUAGUCGGGACCUAACGCGAACCCGAAAGGGGUAGUGGAUGGCAAAUGGGUUAAUAUUCCCAUACCUGCUCUCAAUAAAAGUGACGAAUGAUCGUAGGAGGUGCGUACUGACGGAAAUAGUACGUUGAACUUAGGUAAACUAAGGAUAGUACACAAAGGUUUCGCUGGAGUGAUAACCCUCUGAAGAUUGUUCCAAGAAAUAGCGAGAGAAGCAGCCCGUACCGUAAACCGACACAGGUGGUCGAGGAGAGUAUCCUAAGGCGCUCGAGCGAUUCAUGGUUAAGGAAUUAGGCAAAAUAGCCCCGUAACUUCGGGAGAAGGGCGCUGGUAGCAAUAUCAGCCUCAGUAAAAAGGCCCAGGCGACUGUUUAUCAAAAACACAGGACUCUGCUAAAUAGAAAUAUGACGUAUAGGGUCUGACACCUGCCCGGUGCUGGAAGGUUAAGGAAGGGGGUUAGAAGUAAUUCGAAGCUCUUAACUGAAGCCCCAGUAAACGGCGGCCGUAACUAUAACGGUCCUAAGGUAGCGAAAUUCCUUGUCGGGUAAGUUCCGACCUGCACGAAUGGUGUAACGAUCUGGGCACUGUCUCAACCAUGAUCUCGGUGAAAUUGUAGUAUCGGUGAAGAUGCCGGUUAAUCGCAACGGGACGAAAAGACCCUGUGAACCUUUACUAUAGCUUUGUAUUGACUUCGGGUAAAUAAUGUGUAGGAUAGGUGGGAGACUAUGAAGCAGCGUCGCUAGGCGUUGUGAGUCAUUGUUGAAAUACCACCCUUUAUUUACUUGGAGCCUAACUUCUGAUUCAGAAGGACAGUGCAUGGUGGGUAGUUUGACUGGGUGGUCGCCUCCAAAAGAGUAACGGAGGCUUUCAAAGGUACCCUCAGCACGCUUGUAACCGUGCGUAGAGUGUAAUGCAUAAGGGUGCUUGACUGUGAGGCCAACAAGCCGAGCAGGUGCGAAAGCAGGACAUAGUGAUCCGUGUUCCGUAUGGAAGGGCCAUCGCUCAAAGGAUAAAAGUACUCCGGGAUAACAGGCUAGUCUCCCCCAAGAGCUCACAUCGACGGGGAGGUUCGGCACCUCGAUGUCGGCUCGUCACAUCCUGGGGCUGGAGAAGGUCCCAAGGGUUGGGCUGUUCGCCCAUUAAAGUGGCACGCGAGCUGGGUUCAGAACGUCGUGAGACAGUUCGGUCUCUAUCUGUUGUGAUCGUUAGAAGUUUGAGCGGAGUUGACUCUAGUACGAGAGGACCGUGUUGAACAAACCUCUGGUGUAUCAGUUGUGCCGCCAGGUGCACCGCUGAGUAGCUACGUUUGGAAGAGAUAAGCGCUGAAAGCAUAUAAGCGCGAAACUCGCCGCAAGAUUAGACUUCUUUAAAGGGUCGUUGUAGACUACAACGUUGAUAGGCUAUAGAUGUAAAGGCAGUGAUGUC
rnacentral:rRNA from 2 species